UGCGUGACUUGAGGGCGGAAGAGGGGAGUGGAAUUCCCGGUGUAGCGGUAAAAUGCGCAGAUAUCGGGAGGAACACCAGUGGCGAAGGCGGCUCCCUGGACCGCACCUGACGCUCAGAGGCGAAAGCUAGGGGAGCGAACAGGAUUAGAGACCCUGGUAGUCCUAGCCCUAAACGCUGGAUGCUAGGUGUAGGGCUGAUGAGGCUCUGCGCCGGAGCGAACGCGAUAAGCAUCCCGCCUGGGAACUACGGCCGCAAGGCUAAAACUCAAACGAAUUGACGGGGACCCGCACAAGCAGCGGAGCGUGUGGUUUAAUUCGAUGCUACACGAAGAACCUUACCUGGGUUUGACAUGCUGGUGGUACCGAACCGAAAGGGGAGGGACCCUUCGGGGAGCCAACACAGGUGCUGCAUGGCUGUCGUCAGCUCGUGCCGUGAGGUGUCGGGUUAAGUCCCGUAACGAGCGCAACCCUUGCUCUUAGUUAUACGUGUCUAAGGGGACUGCCGGCGACAAGCCGGAGGAAGGUGGGGAUGACGUCAAGUCAGCAUGGCCUUGAUAUCCAGGGCUACACACACGCUACAAUGGCCGGUACAAAGGGCAGCCAAGCCGCGAGGUGGAGCGAAUCCCAGCAAAGCCGGUCCCAGUUCGGAUUGCAGGCUGCAACCCGCCUGCAUGAAGUUGGAGUUGCUAGUAACCGCGCGUCAGCCAUAGUGCGGUGAAUACGUACCCGGGUCUUGUACACACCGCCCGUCACGUCAUGGGAGUUGGCAACGCCUGACAGCGGUAGCCUAACCGAAAGGAAGGCGCCGACUAAGGCGGGGCUAGCGACUGGGACGAAGUCGUAACAAGGUAACCAAGGGCGAA
rnacentral:rRNA from 1 species